rnacentral:rRNA from 1 species
UACGGGGGGAGCAAGCGUUGUUCGGAUUUACUGGGCGUAAAGGGCGCGUAGGCGGUAGCACAAGUCAGUUGUGAAAUCUCCGGGCUUAACUCGGAAAGGUCAACUGAUACUGUGCGACUAGAGUGCAGAAGGGGCAACUGGAAUUCUCGGUGUAGCGGUGAAAUGCGUAGAUAUCGAGAGGAACACCUGCGGCGAAGGCGGGUUGCUGGGACGUUACUGACGCUGAGACGCGAAAGCGUGGGGAGCAAACAGG